UACCCCGUGGUGUAAUUGGCAACACAGCUGGUUUUGAUCCAGCUAUUCCUGGUUCAAGUCCAGGCGGGGUAG
rnacentral:tRNA from 1 species